UAUCGGCAGAUUUUGGGGUGAAGGAUGGUAUCUGAAUACACAAAUCACGAGUAAUGCCACUAUUUACUGCUGUUUGCUGCGCAGGGAGAACAUGCUGCUUCGACAACAUCUUUCCUCAGUGGAAAAAUCGGCCAGAAGAUCUUCUGUACCCGUUUCUGCCUGCUAUGGCAGCAGUGAGCUGCUAGGGAAGGUUGAAACUGACCCUCCGACAGAGGGGUCCUCUUGCUGCAGGAGGUCAUGCAAGAAAACAGAACACUGCAGUGAGUGUGUCCAUUUGCUGCUGUUGUUUUAUCUGCUUUAUCAAUGUUUUUCCAGUAGCAUAUUACGUCAUGCGUUUCACUAACACCUAUUAGUUCAAAAAAAAAAAAAGUUGACUCAGUUUCCUACCUGUGUUACUGCGACCAGACCCCUAACCAAUACUUAACAUAUGCACCAGAGAGUGGAAAAGGGAGCAUUACUCAACCGCACCCAAUCCUCCAAGCAACAGGGGGCGCUCCUGUCACUUGAAAAUGCUCAGUUGCUGCACAAACUGGACGAACUGCAAAGUUGGUGGCACUGCCUCCUCUCUGGGCCCUGCAGGCUGUUGCCUGUGGGGAGAAAUAUCCAGCCCAAACUGAAAUCCAGAGUGAGCCUCCCAGUCAGAGCGCAGGACUUCAUGGACG